AUUGAACGCUGGCGACAGGCCUAACACAUGCAAGUCGAACGGUAACAGGAAGAAGCUUGCUUCUUUGCUGACGAGUGGCGGACGGGUGAGUAAUGUCUGGGAAACUGCCUGAUGGAGGGGGAUAACUACUGGAAACGGUAGCUAAUACCGCAUAACGUCGCAAGACCAAAGAGGGGGACCUUCGGGCCUCUUGCCAUCGGAUGUGCCCAGGUGGGAUUAGCUAGUUGGUGGGGUAACGGCUCACCAAGGCGACGAUCCCUAGCUGGUCUGAGAGGAUGACCAGCCACACUGGAACUGAGACACGGUCCAGACUCCUACGGGAGGCAGCAGUGGGGAAUAUUGCACAAUGGGCGCAAGCCUGAUGCAGCCAUGCCGCGUGUAUGAGGAAGGCCUUCGGGUUGUAAAGUACUUUCAGCGGGGAGGAAGGGAGUAAAGUUAAUACCUUUGCUCAUUGACGUUACCCGCAGAAGAAGCACCGGCUAACUCCGUGCCAGCAGCCGCGGUAA
rnacentral:rRNA from 1 species